rnacentral:rRNA from 1 species
CCUACGGGUGGCAGCAGUGGGGAAUAUUGCACAAUGGGGGAAACCCUGAUGCAGCGACGCCGCGUGAGUGAAGAAGUACUUCGGUAUGUAAAGCUCUAUCAGCAGGGAAGAAAAUGACGGUACCUGAGUAAGAAGCCCCGGCUAACUACGUGCCAGCAGCCGCGGUAAUUCGUAGGGGGCAAGCGUUAUCCGGAUUUACUGGGUUUAAAGGGAGCGUAGACGGUAGGAAAGGUCUGGAGUGAAAUACCGGGGCUAAACGUCGGAAGUGCUAUGGAAACGGGGCAGCUAGAGUGCAGGAGAGGUGAGUGGAAUGCGUGGUGUAGCGGUGAAAUGCGUAGAUAUUA